rnacentral:misc_RNA from 1 species
ACCUAUAAAAGGGAAUGCAACCUUUCCUUUCUUGAACACAUUUACCUACUGAGCAACUCUCUCUGCAGUCUUCUCCUUUCUCUUUACCGUGCAGGUUCUACUUUCUCUACUUGGCUGGCUUUUAGUUCGACCCUAACUCAACCCAAAGCUCCUCAACGGUCCCAGAGCUAGCUAGGUGCGUAUAUGAUGACAAAUCCAUCAAUCCCAUCUGUACUUAUGGAUGCAUGUUCAUGAGCUGAGAUUUGGUGCCUCUUUCACCUUAUAUGGGUUUCUUUUGCCUGGAUCUGAACUGGGUCUUUCUCAUAGCUAGGGUUUCUGUAAAUUCUUGUCUUGAAUUUGCAAAACCCCACCUUUUUGUGCUCUAUUUCUUUGCCAUUUCAUGCGCUUCUUUCUUUCUUUGUUGUACGGACAAUGUGAAAGUUUAUGAAUGUUCUUUUUCUUUUUUUUGGGAAGAGAAGAGGAUGGCUAGAGAGAAGAUCAAGAUCAAGAAGAUUGACAACAUCACAGCCAGGCAAGUGACUUUUUCCAAGAGGAGACGAGGUCUUUUCAAGAAAGCUGAAGAGCUUUCUGUUCUUUGCGAUGCUGAUGUUGCUCUCAUCAUUUUCUCUGCUACUGGCAAGCUGUUUGAGUAUUGCAGCUCCAGUAUGAAGGACAUAAUUGCAAGGCAUAAUCUGCAUUCCAAUAAGCUCGAUAAAUUAGACCGACCAUCUCUUGAGUUGGAGCUACAGAAUACCAAUCACGAGCGGUUGAGCAAGGAGGUGGCUGAAAAGACUCAUCAACUCAGGCAGAUGAGGGGAGAGGAUCUGCAAGGAUUAAACAUGGAGGACUUGCAGCAAUUGGAAAAAAUGCUUGAAACAGGACUUAGCCGUGUGCUUGAAACUAAAGUAUUUUUUUUGCAUCAACAUUGUUGCGAUUAUUGCUGGCUUUUGCAAGGGAUAUAUGUACACACACACAUGCUCAACAUAUGAUACUAGUUGAGUUUUUCGUUCUUUACAGGGAGAUAAGAUGAUGAAUGAGAUCUCUGCACUUGAAAAGAAGGUUAGAUACCUUUGUUAGUUCAAGAAAGAAGAUUGAACUUUAUCAUCUUCACUAACUUUGUUUAGGCUUUCAUAAUCUUGGCCGAAAGGUCGAGUUUAAUCGAUCAAAAUCAUAGUUUUCUUCCAUAAUAAUGCAGGGAGCUCUUCUGCUAGAAGAGAAUAAAGCGCUAAAACAGAAGGUAUUUAGACUACUUAACCAGUCGUAUUCCUUGUGUAGUUGAGCGGCAAGAGAUGAUUAGAUUGCAUCUGUUUACGAGUGCAGAUGAUGACAUUGUGCAAGGGAAAAAGGCCAGUUCUUUUGGAUUCGGAUUUGGCUGUCCAGCAGGAAGAAGGCAUGUCAUCAGAAUCCGCCACCAACGUAUGCAG